rnacentral:lncRNA from 1 species
AUGCCCAAUAUGGUGUUCGUGUUCUGAUCAUCUUCAAUAGGUACCGCCAAAUACUGUUCAACGAUAUGCGUCGGAAAUCUACAUAAUAAGAAAACUCCAUAGUAAUUAGGUUUUCAUUCGGUGACAGCAUAGCAGACUCGCACAAGUUCUAGGUAUGUUACGUUACGAUCCACUAUAGUCAUCCGGAUCCUUCCACUAUCAUAAUAUGCACCAUUAGCAUUAUGACUGAUCCUCCAAUCCCAAUAGAAGAUAACAGUGACAAGACUUAGAUC